GUUUUAAUAAUUUAAAUUAAAAUUUUGGUCUUGUAAAUCAAAAAUGAAGAAUUCCUUCUUAAAACU
rnacentral:tRNA from 1 species